rnacentral:rRNA from 1 species
GAGUAGGUGAUAGGGAAGUAGAAUUCCAGGUGUAGCGGUCAAAUGCGUAGAGAUCUGGAGGAAUACCGAUGGCGAAGGCAGCUUCCUGGCAUCAUACUGACACUGAGGCUCGAAAGCGUGGGUAGCAAACAGGAUUAGAUACCGUAGUAGCCCAAGGGACAU